UACGGAGGGUGCAAGCGUUGCUCGGAAUUAUUGGGCGUAAAGGGUAGGUAGGUGGUCUCAUUUGUCUGGGGUGAAAGCCUUGAGCUUAACUCAAGAAGUGCCCCAGAAACGGUGAGACUCGAGUCCUGGAGAGGGUCGUGGAAUUCCCGGUGUAGCGGUGAAAUGCGUAGAGAUCGGGAGGAACACCAGAGGCGAAAGCGGCGACCUGGACAGGUACUGACACUCAACUACGAAAGCGUGGGGAGCAAACAGG
rnacentral:rRNA from 1 species